AUUGAACGCUGGCGGCAUGCCUUACACAUGCAAGUCGAACGGCAGCACGGGGGCAACCCUGGUGGCGAGUGGCGAACGGGUGAGUAAUACAUCGGAAUGUACCCAGUAGUGGGGGAUAACUAGUCGAAAGAUUAGCUAAUACCGCAUACGCACUAUGGUGGAAAGCGGGGGAUCGCAAGACCUCGCGCUAUUGGAGCAGCCGAUGUCCGAUUAGGUAGUUGGUGGGGUAAAAGCCUACCAAGCCUGCGAUCGGUAACUGGUCUGAGAGGACGACCAGUCACACUGGGACUGAGACACGGCCCAGACUCCUACGGGAGGCAGCAGUGGGGAAUUUUGGACAAUGGGGGAAACCCUGAUCCAGCAAUGCCGCGUGUGUGACGAAGGCCUUCGGGUUGUAAAGCACUUUUGGCGGGAACGAAACGGCGCUUUCUAAUACAGAGUGCUAAUGACGGUACCCGCAGAAUAAGCACCGGCUAACUACGUGCCAGCAGCCGCGGUAAG
rnacentral:rRNA from 1 species